ACCUUGCUGGCUCAGUUGGUAGAGCGUGGGACUCUUGAUCUCAGGGUUGUGAGUUCCAAGUCCAUGUUGGGUG
rnacentral:tRNA from 1 species